CAGUCAUUGACAUGAUAUCUGGUGUUCUUCCUUAUUCCAGGUAUGGGCACGGGACAGUUGGUGGGGAUCGUAAUCGGCGCAUUGGUCGGAGUGAUUGUUGUCAUUGCUGUUAUCAUCUUGGUGGUCAGAAGAAUGGGCCAGUACUCCCCCUGAAAAGGAAGGCACGACAGGAAGAGAAGAAGAAGAAAUUGCGGAAGUUCUGAACUAUUGUUCUAAUGUUUUAAACAAUGCAAGCAGCACUCUCACCAUCCAUCCAGGACUAUAAGGGGAGCAGGAGAGUGCCCCAUCCCCUUUCCAAUUGAAAAAGAUGCCCUCCCCAACCCUCUGACAAAGACACCUCCCCAACGCCCACAAGCCCCUUAUUUAGCCCGGAAAAA